rnacentral:rRNA from 1 species
AGUGAACGCUGGCGAUAGGCCUAACACAUGCAAGUCGAACGGCAGCACAGUAAGAGCUUGCUCUUACGGGUGGCGAGUGGCGGACGGGUGAGGAAUACAUCGGAAUCUACUUUUUCGUGGGGGAUAACGUAGGGAAACUUACGCUAAUACCGCAUACGACCUACGGGUGAAAGCAGGGGAUCUUCGGAUCUUGCGCGAUUGAAUGAGCCGAUGUCGGAUUAGAUAGUUGGUGGGGUAAAGGCCCACCACGGCGACGAUCCGUAGCUUGUCUGAGAGGAUGAUCAGCCACACUGGAACUGAGACAGGGUCCAGACUCCUACGGGAGGCAGCAGUCGGGAAUAUUGGACAAUGGGGGCAAGCCUGAUCCAGCCAUACCGCGUGGGUGAAGAAGGCCUUCGGGUUGUAAAGCCCUUUUGUUGGGAAAGAAAAGCAGCAGGUUAAUACCCCGCUGUUCUGACGGUACCCAAAGAAUAAGCACCGGCUAACUUCGUG